rnacentral:rRNA from 1 species
AAACCAACUGGGAUUACCUUAGUAACGGCGAGUGAAGCGGUAAAAGCUCAAAUUUGAAAUCUGGUACUUUCAGUGCCCGAGUUGUAAUUUGUAGAAUUUGUCUUUGAUUAGGUCCUUGUCUAUGUUCCUUGGAACAGGACGUCAUAGAGGGUGAGAAUCCCGUUUGGCGAGGAUACCUUUUCUCUGUAAGACUUUUUCGAAGAGUCGAGUUGUUUGGGAAUGCAGCUCAAAGUGGGUGGUAAAUUCCAUCUAAAGCUAAAUAUUGGCGAGAGACCGAUAGCGAACAAGUACAGUGAUGGAAAGAUGAAAAGAACUUUGAAAAGAGAGUGAAAAAGUACGUGAAAUUGUUGAAAGGGAAGGGCAUUUGAUCAGACAUGGUGUUUUUGCAUGCACUCGCCUCUCGUGGGCUUGGGCCUCUCAAAAUUUCACUGGGCCAACAUCAAUUCUGGCAGCAGGAUAAAUCAUUAAGAAUGUAGCUACUUCGGUAGUGUUAUAGCUUUUUUGGAAUACUGUUAGCCGGGAUU